UUACGGCCACAUCACGUUGGAACACCGAUUCCCGGACAAUCACCGAAGUUAAGCAACAUCAAGCCAGAUCAGUACCUAGAUGGGUGAUCGCUUGGUAAUACCAGGUGCUGUAAG